UACGGAGGGUGCAAACGUUGCUCGGAAUCAUUGGGCGUAAAGCGCACGUAGGCGGCCUGAUAAGUCGGGUGUGAAAGCCCUGGGCUCAACCCAGGAAGUGCACUCGAAACUGUCAGGCUUGAAUAUGGAAGAGGGUCGCGGAAUUCCCGGCGUAGAGGUGAAAUUCGUAGAUAUCGGGAGGAACACCAGUGGCGAAGGCGGCGACCUGGGCCAAUAUUGACGCUGAGGUGCGAAAGCGUGGGGAGCAAACAGG
rnacentral:rRNA from 1 species